rnacentral:rRNA from 1 species
AGAGUUGAUCAUGGCUCAGGAUGAACGCUGGCGGCGUGCUAACACAUGCAAGUCGAACGAAGCAUUUUAAACAGAUUCUUCGGGAUGAAGUUUUUAAUGACUGAGUGGCGGACGGGUGAGUAACGCGUGGGUAACCUGCCUCACACAGGGGGAUAGCAGCUGGAAACGGCUGGUAAUACCGCAUAAGCGCACAGUACCGCAUGGUACGGUGUGAAAAACUCCGGUGGUGUGAGAUGGACCCGCGUCUGAUUAGCUUGUUGGCGGGGUAACGGCCCACCAAGGCGACGAUCAGUAGCCGACCUGAGAGGGUGAUCGGCCACAUUGGGACUGAGACACGGCCCAAACUCCUACGGGAGGCAGCAGUGGGGAAUAUUGGGCAAUGGGGGAAACCCUGACCCAGCAACGCCGCGUGGAGGAAGAAGGUUUUCGGAUCGUAAACUCCUGUCCUCARGGAARARCAGAAGACGGUACCUGAGGAGGAAGCCCCGGCUAACUACGUGCCAGCAGCCGCGGUAAUACGUAGGGGGCAAGCGUUGUCCGGAAUGAUUGGGCGUAAAGGGCACGUAGGCGGCCUGGUAAGUCUGGAGUGAAAGUCCUUUUUUCAAGGAGGGAAUUGCUUUGGAUACUGCUGGGCUUGAGUGCAGGAGAGGUAAGUGGAAUUCCCAGUGUAGCGGUGAAAUGCGUAAAGAUUGGGAGGAACACCAGUGGCGAAGGCGACUUACUGGACUGUAACUGACGCUGAGGCGCGAAAGUGUGGGGAGCAUCAGGAUUAGAUACCCUGGUAGUCCACACUGUAAACGA